GCGCCUGGGGGGCGGGCUACCAUGCAGUCGACGGUAGCACAGAGAGCUUGCUCUCGGGUGACGAGUGGCGGACGGGUGAGUAAUGUCUGGGAAACUGCCUGAUGGAGGGGGAUAACUACUGGAAACGGUAGCUAAUACCGCAUAACGUCGCAAGACCAAAGAGGGGGACCUUCGGGCCUCUUGCCAUCAGAUGUGCCCAGAUGGGAUUAGCUAGUAGGUGGGGUAACGGCUCACCUAGGCGACGAUCCCUAGCUGGUCUGAGAGGAUGACCAGCCACACUGGAACUGAGACACGGUCCAGACUCCUACGGGAGGCAGCAGUGGGGAAUAUUGCACAAUGGGCGCAAGCCUGAUGCAGCCAUGCCGCGUGUAUGAAGAAGGCCUUCGGGUUGUAAAGUACUUUCAGCGGGGAGGAAGGUGUUGUGGUUAAUAACCACAGCAAUUGACGUUACCCGCAGAAGAAGCACCGGCUAACUCCGUGCCAGCAGCCGCGGUAAUACGGAGGGUGCAAGCGUUAAUCGGAAUUACUGGGCGUAAAGCGCACGCAGGCGGUCUGUCAAGUCGGAUGUGAAAUCCCCGGGCUCAACCUGGGAACUGCAUUCGAAACUGGCAGGCUAGAGUCUUGUAGAGGGGGGUAGAAUUCCAGGUGUAGCGGUGAAAUGCGUAGAGAUCUGGAGGAAUACCGGUGGCGAAGGCGGCCCCCUGGACAAAGACUGACGCUCAGGUGCGAAAGCGUGGGGAGCAAACAGGAUUAGAUACCCUGGUAGUCCACGCCGUAAACGAUGUCGACUUGGGAGGUUGUGCCCUUGAGGCGUGGCUUCCGGAGCUAACGCGUUAAGUCGACCGCCUGGGGAGUACGGCCGCAAGGUUAAAACUCAAAUGAAUUGACGGGGGCCCGCACAAGCGGUGGAGCAUGGGGUUUAAUUCGAUGCAACGCGAAGAACCUUACCUACUCUUGACAUCCAGAGAACUUACCAGAGAUGCAUUGGUGCCUUCGGGAACUCUGAGACAGGUGCUUGCAUGGCUGUCGUCAGCCUCGUGUUUGUGAAAUGGUUGG
rnacentral:rRNA from 1 species